AACGAACGCUGGCGGCAUGCCUAACACAUGCAAGUCGAACGAGACCUUCGGGUCUAGUGGCGCACGGGUGCGUAACGCGUGGGAACCUGCCCUUAGGUUCGGAAUAACUCCCCGAAAGGGGUGCUAAUACCGGAUAAUGUCUUCGGACCAAAGAUUUAUCGCCUUUGGAUGGGCCCGCGUUGGUUUAGCUAGUUGGUAGGGUAAAAGCCUACCAAGGCGACGAUCCAUAGCUGGUCUGAGAGGAUGAUCAGCCACACUGGGACUGAGACACGGCCCAGACUCCUACGGGAGGCAGCAGUGGGGAAUAUUGGACAAGGGGCGAAAGCCUGAUCCAGCAAUGCCGCGUGAGUGAUGAAGGCCUUAGGGUUGUAAAGCUCUUUUACCCGGGAUGAUAAUGACAGUACCGGGAGAAUAAGCACCGGCUAACUCCGUG
rnacentral:rRNA from 1 species